rnacentral:rRNA from 1 species
AGUGAACGCUGGCGGUAGGCCUAACACAUGCAAGUCGAACGGCAGCACAGUAAGAGCUUGCUCUUACGGGUGGCGAGUGGCGGACGGGUGAGGAAUACAUCGGAAUCUACUUUUUCGUGGGGGAUAACGUAGGGAAACUUACGCUAAUACCGCAUACGACCUACGGGUGAAAGCAGGGGAUCUUCGGACCUUGCGCGAGUGAAUGAGCCGAUGCCGGAUUAGCUAGUUGGCGGGGUAAAGGCCCACCAAGGCGACGAUCCGUAGCUGGUCUGAGAGCAUGAUCAGCCACACUGGAACUGAGACACGGUCCAGACUCCUACGGGAGGCAGCAGUGGGGAAUAUUGGACAAUGGGCGCAAGCCUGAUCCAGCCAUACCGCGUGAGUGAAGAAGGCCUUCGGGUUGUAAAGCCCUUUUGUUGGGAAAGAAAAGCAGCAGGUUAAUACCCCGCUGUUCUGACGGUACCCAAAGAAUAAGCACCGGCUAACUUCGUG